CACGUAGGGUGCAAGCGUUGUCCGGAAUCAUUGGGCGUAAAGAGCUCGUAGGCGGCUUAGUAAGUCGGGUGUGAAAACCCCAGGCUCAACCUGGGGACGCCACCCGAUACUGCUAUAGCUAGAGUCCAGUAGGGGAGUGUGGAAUUCCUGGUGGAGCGGUGAAAUGCGCAGAUAUCAGGAGGAACACCCGUAGCGAAGGCGGCACACUGGGCCGGUACUGACGCUGAGGAGCGAAAGCGUGGGGAGCAAACAGG
rnacentral:rRNA from 1 species